UUGGCUCGGCUCGCGGGCACCAAGCAAGGCCCCGUGGCACCUUGGCUUGGCUCGCGGGCGGGCACCAUGCAAGGCCUCGUGCCACCUUGGCUUGGCUCGCGGGCACCAAGCAAGGCCCCGUGGCACGCGUCGCGUGUCUUGGCUUGGCUCACAGGCGGGCACCAUGCAAGGCCUCGUGCCACCUUGGCUUGGCUCGCGGGCACCAAGCAAGGCCCCGUGGCACCUUGGCUUGGCUCGCGGGAGGGCACCAUGCAAGGCCCCGUGCCACCUUGGCUUGGCUCGCGGGCACCAAGCAAGGCCCCGUGGCACCUUGGCUUGGCUCGCGGGCAGGCACCAUGCAAGGCCCCGUGGCACCUUGGCUUGGCUCGUGGGCGGGCACCAUGGAAGGCCUCGUGCCACCUUGGCUUGGCUCGCGGGCACCAAGCAAGGCCCCGUGGCACCUUGGCUUGGCUCGCGGGAGGGCACCAUGCAAGGCCCCGUGCCACCUUGGCUUGGCUCGCGGGCACCAAGAAAGGCCCCGUGGCACCUUGGCUUGGCUCGCGGGCGGGCACCAUGCAAGGCCUCGUGCCACCUUGGCUUGGCUCGCGGGCACCAAGGGAGGGCCCGUGGCACGCGUCGUGUGUCUUGGCUUGGCUCAUGGGCGGGCACCAAGCAAGGCCCCGUGGCACCUUGGCUUGGCUCGCGGGUGGGCACCAUGCAAGGCCUCGUCCAACCUUGGCUUGGCUCGCGGGCACCAAGCAAGGCCCCGUGGCACGCGUCGCGUGUCUUGGCUUGGCUCACGGGCGGGCACCAAGCAAGGCCCCGUGGCACGUGUCGCGUGUCUUGGCUUGGCUCACGGGCGGGCACCAAGCAAGGCCCCGCGGCACCUUGGCAUGGCUCGCGGGAGGGCACCAUGCAAGGUCCCGUGCCACCUUGGCUUGGCUCGCGGGCACCAAGCAAGGCCCCGUGGCACGCGUCGCGUGUCUUGGCUUGGCUCACGGGCGGGCACCAUGCAAGGCCUCGUGCCACCUUGGCUUGGCUCGCGGGCACCAAGCAAGGCCCCGUGGCACCUUGGCUUGGCUCGCGGGCGGGCACCAUGCAAGGCCUCGUGCCACCUUGGCUUGGCUCGCGGGCACCAAGCAAGGCCCCGUGGCACCUUGGC
rnacentral:lncRNA from 1 species